GACAGAGGGGGCAAGCGUUACUCGGAAUCACUGGGCGUAAAGGGCGCGUAGGCGGGAUGGCAAGUCAGUCGUGAAAUCUCUCGGCUCAACCGAGAAACGUCGGCUGAUACUGCCGUUCUUGAGGGAUGCAGAGGAGACUGGAAUUCCCGGUGUAGCGGUGGAAUGUGUAGAGAUCGGGAGGAACACCGGUGGCGAAGGCGGGUCUCUGGGCAUUUCCUGACGCUGAGGCGCGAAAGCGUGGGGAGCGAACAGG
rnacentral:rRNA from 1 species